GGGGAUGUAUUUGGUUUCGCCAGGGCUUUGAAUGGACUAUAUGCAUGUCGUGGUUAGACACGUAAAAAUCAGAGGAUUCCAAUAAACGGAAACGAAAACAAAACUGUUGCAGUACCAAACUAUGGUGCUCAACUUCAAUUAGCUGCUUAAGAAUAAGUGUGCGCCAAUUCUAUGAUUUCCUGAGUCAUUGAUGCGGUAACCUAUCAGGAUAUAUUAACUGUAGUGUUUGGGACAGUUAAAGAACUAUACAAACUAGUAUUAGAUGUGUUUGUUAGUCUUCACCUCUAAUAUGAUAAUAAAGAUUAACUAAGCAUGUAGAGUAUAGUUUUGGAUCUGCUUUGUACCGGAGUUCGAGUCUCCGCAUCUCCACCA
rnacentral:tmRNA from 1 species